GCAGAGCAUCAGCUGAGUCUCGUUUCCAGUACACUGGACACUCCUUAGGCCAACAAGACCCAUGCCUCGCUCAGACUUUGGAAGGAAGAAGACAUAUAGGACACUGGUGAAUAAUGUCCAUCAGUCCAAAGUCUCACCUGAACACACAACAGUGGCAUCAUGAGAGCACGUGUUAGUAUGGUGUAUAUUCCUGGGACAGUCUGCAAGAUGUCCUGAGCAGGCAGUGUCCCCUCCAGUCAGACGCAGAUCAGAGAAGCCUGGAAAAAACCCAAAAAACAAGAAAUCCAGCAUCAAGGGUUGGUUGCACUGACAUAUUUUUAUAAAUCUUGUACCUUAAUAGGCAAGACACAUUUCACUUCUCUGAGGACCACUGAUACUUUUGAAAUGUGACUGGGGUAAUUCCUGUAUAACACUGAUAAAGAACAAAAUGGUGUAUGAGAUUGCUUAUUUCUCAGUAUGUGAAAAUAUGAAAUCCUUGGGAAAGAAGGAAGGAAGCUUUGAACAUCUGCCAAUGACUGAGAAGUAGCAAUUCCCAAAUACAUAAACAGACAAAUAGUAAUUUA